GACGAACGCUGGCGGCGUGCUUAACACAUGCAAGUCGAACGAUGAAGAAAAGAAUUGAAGCUUCGGCAGAAAUUCAUUUCGGAUUAGUGGCAGACGGGUGAGUAACGCGUGAGCAACCUACCUCUUACAAAGGGAUAGCCUCGGGAAACCGGGAUUAAUACCAUAUAACAUUGCGACGAAGCAUUUCGAUGCAAUCAAAGCUACGGCGGUAAGAGAUGGGCUCGCGUCCCAUUAACCAGAUGGUGAGGUAACGGCUCACCAUAGUAACGAUGGGUAACCGGCCUGAGAGGGUGAACGGUCACACUGGAGCUGAGACACGGUCCAGACUCCUACGGGAGGCAGCAGUGGGGAAUAUUGCACAAUGGAGGGAACUCUGAUGCAGCGACGCCGCGUGAGUGAUGAAGGAAUUCGUUUCGUAAAACUCUGUUCUAUGGGAAGAAAAGGACUGUACCAUAGGAGAAAGCUCCGGCUAAAUACGUG
rnacentral:rRNA from 1 species